UCAAGUUUCGCCACGUGCAGAAAUAGCUUGGGACGAUACAGGGUGCUCGAAGCACACAGCGCAGCACCACUAAUUGCAUCGCUCGCAGCAUCAUCAUCGCCAUCGUCGUCGUCCUCCGCGGCGGAGCGGCACGGUGCUCAUGUCCGAUGCGCGCGGCAUCGGCCGUUGCAAUUAGGCUUGAGAUAUUGCCUCCGGUAGUCACGACUAGUCGCCUCCUCUCUUCCUUCGCCUCCCCCUUGUCUCAGUCUAAAUCGAUAUAUAGAUCACGAGGUGGCGCGCCCAUAAUUCUUGCAUCUCGAGACUUCUCUGGAUUCGAUUUUUCUGGGAAGAGAAUCCAAUAAGCUACAUGUUUUGGCGUAGCAGAAUUUACGAGGAUUCGGGACUUUACGACAAGAGAGAUCGUAAGGAUAAACAGGAUUCGCCUAUCUCUUAAAGUUCACACGUAAAUCGAAUACCCAAAAGGUCAGGAGCGAUAAAGCGGACAAUGUCACUGGAGUUUUAAACCCUUGAAGAAGGGUGUAAAUGAUGGUUGGGAAGGGAUACGGAAGAGAUGAAAGAAUCGACAGAUGAUAAAAGACAUAGUGGUUUGAUACUCGUCGAAACGAGAAAGAAAUUAGGAAACUGGAGGUAAUACGCGUGAAGUGAUCGCAUAAAAAUUUAU